ensembl:lncRNA
CCAAGAGAAGGUUGAGACUUGUGCUGUUGGAGAUCAGGAGGAGAGAAAUGCUGUAAAUAUUUGCCAGUUAAAGGAGGAAGUUCAGACAAAAUCAUUCACAACUCAAAUAAUAUUUCUAUAUCAAAUGUGCUAAAAAAAAAAAAAAGGUAGCAACUUAAAGAUAGCCUGCUUACCUUCAAAAACCUGUCUCACUCUUACUAACAAGUUAUUAUUGGUUGGAUAUUUGGGUAGAAAUUUUGGAUGACAUUUUCCAUUCCUGGACGCAAAAUGUUUUGUUAUAUUGAAGUUCAUCUUUGCAAAAGGAGGGUUGUUUUUUUUUAAAUGAAAUUCUAUCUGGAAUAGGGACUGGGAUACAAAAAAAGCUCACUCUUGAUUAUUAACUGAAAUCCUCCAUGAUAAGUCAGUUGUGCUUAUAACAAUCUUUCUCAGUUUGCUAUUAGCCUUACUCUCUGAAGUUAGCACGUUGUCAGAUAUGAAGUGGCAGCUUUGACUCACUAUAUGCAAUAUGAAACUCAAUUUAAUGGGUUAACUGCCUAACUGACAAAAUUUCCUAUGUACUCACUGUUGUGAUUGCUGCUGUUUCAUAAAACAUGCUUUUGCCAGUUUCCAAGUAAUCCUACAUUAUUAAUUGUGUAUUUCUUUAAUUAUCGCAAUUGUUUGUAGUAGAAUUCACUUUUCUAAGUAGAAAUGCUUUUUUGCAGGUAAGUAAAAUGGAAAAUAAAACUAACUUGAGUCUCAGAUGCAUUAGAAUCAGGCAGGAUGGAGAAAUAUGUAUAUAAAACUUGUCAUCAUUUAAAGUUGAGGCAAGAGUUUUUAAGUAGGUGAUAACUAGAGCACACAUGAGGUGAAAGGCUGGUGUUUUACCUUCAUUUGCACAGGUUACCCUAAAAAUACACUGUAUGUUAAGUCUUUCUACUUGUGUAAAGAGUAUCACAUUUCUAAACAAGACCCCUGGUUACCACCAAAUAUCUUUUACCAGCUGAAGUUAUUUAGACUUUAGGUAAUUUUCUGAGGCCUACUUAGAUGAAGUUAGGCCUACUUAGAUGAAGUUAGUCUUUCCUUCUUCAACAAACCUAUUCCUUUCAGUCAGUUCAGCAAGGGAGAAUGGAUCAAGGCAGAAUUACUUGAUUCCAGUGUGUCUUGCUGGGAUGACAGACAUCUGGGAAAGUGAAAGGCAAAGGGGAAGGGAGAGGUUAGGUGCAGACUUAGUAAUUUAUCCCUGGGACUAAUUAUAAUUGAUUACCCAUAGUAAUAUGCACUAUUAAUGAUUUCCUUUUAGAGCAUCACUGUUGGGUUGUUUUUAAAUCAAUGCAAUGGUAGGAAGAUUUCUGUAGCUGCAACUGCAAUCGCAGUUGGGUUACAGUAAAAUACUGUGGGUGAGAAAUAUUUCUGUCUAAAGAGUCUACUGAUUCAUUUAAAUGAUAUAUCAUGCUAAUAGUGUUUUGAUUUGUUUCUGUAGCACUUAGGUUUGUAUAUCAGGCAGUUUUUCCCUACUAUUUCAUGGCAGUUUGUGUAGAGGAUUGAUCAAUGUUGUGUCAGUUAUGGUUGAUGCUGGGAGACAAUCAACUACCAACAAGCAUGUUUCAGAUUAUUUAAGCCAAAAUAAUUACCUGUAAUAAUCCAUCUGACCUUUACCAGUUGAAGUCUUGAACCCUCAAAUUGGAAGAUUUAGCUUAAUUCUUAAUGGCUGCAAUAUCUUCAGUAUUUGAGGCUUUGAUUUCCAUUCUUAUUCAUCCUGUCGGGAUUCACUUUUCACCGUACUCUGGGAGAUCACUGUAUGGAAGAAAAGUAGAUGAUGCCACUGCUGCAGCUGCAAAAUCAACAGCUCAGUAGAAUCUCUCAAGUAAAAGGAGAAACUGUUUUGACAUGUUAUUCCCUUCAAAAUGUCUGAUGUUAGCUGACAUGUCUCAUCCUUUU